AUUAGAAGGCAUCUUUUAUUUUUUAAAAGACCUUUUUCGAAAGGUAUACUUAAAGAGGGGCUUGCGGCACAUUAGUUAGUUGGUAGGGUAAAAGCCUACCAAGACCAUGAUGUGUAGCUGGACUGAGAGGUUGAACAGCCACAUUGGGACUGAGACACGGCCCAAACUCCUACGGGAGGCAGCAGUAGGGAAUUUUCGGCAAUGGAGGAAACUCUGACCGAGCAACGCCGCGUGAACGAUGAAGUAUUUCGGUAUGUAAAGUUCUUUUAUUGAAGAAGAAAAAAUAGUGGAAAAACUAUCUUGACGAUAUUCAAUGAAUAAGCCCCGGCAAACUAUGUGCCAGCAGCCGCGGUAAUACAUAGGGGGCGAGCGUUAUCCGGAAUUAUUGGGCGUAAAGGGUGCGUAGGCGGUUUGGUAAGUCUAUAGUUUAAUUUCAGUGCUUAACACUGUUCUGCUAUAGAAACUAUCAGACUAGAGUGAGAUAGAGGCAAGUGGAAUUCCAUGUGUAGCGGUAAAAUGCGUAAAUAUAUGGAGGAACACCAGAGGCGUAGGCGGCUUGCUGGGUCUUUACUGACGCUGAGGCACGAAAGCGUGGGGAGCAAACAGGAUUAGAUACCCUGGUAGUCCACGCCGUAAACGAUGAGUACUAAGUGUCGGGGAAACUCGGUACUGAAGUUAACACAUUAAGUACUCCGCCUGAGUAGUACGUACGCAAGUAUGAAACUUAAAGGAAUUGACGGGACUCCGCACAAGCGGUGGAUCAUGUUGUUUAAUUCGAAGAUACACGAAAAACCUUACCAGGUCUUGACAUACUCUGCAAAGCUAUAGCAAUAUAGUGGAGGUUAUCAGGGAUACAGGUGGUGCAUGGUUGUCGUCAGCUCGUGUCGUGAGAUGUUAGGUUAAGUCCUAAAACGAGCGCAACCCUUGUCACUAGUUGCCAGCAUGUUAUGAUGGGCACUUUAGUGAGACUGCCAAUGAAAAAUUGGAGGAAGGUGAGGAUCACGUCAAAUCAUCAUGCCCCUUAUGAUCUGGGCUACAAACGUGAUACAAUGGCUGUUACAAAGAGUAGCUAAAACGCGAGUUUAAAGCCAAUCUCAUAAAAGCAGUCUCAGUUCGGAUUGAAGUCCGCAACUCCACUUCAUGAAGUUGGAAUCGCUAGUAAUCGCGAAUCAGCAUGUCGCGGUGAAUACGUUCUCGGGGUUUGUACACACCGCCCGUCAAACCACGAAAGUUGGUAAUACUCAAAAACGGUAGCCUAACUUCUUCGGAAGAGGGAACU
rnacentral:rRNA from 1 species